rnacentral:lncRNA from 1 species
UCCCAACACUUAAGAAGCUAAGGAAGAUGGAUUCCUGCAAGUGUGUGGUGAAGCUGGGCUAUACAGUCAACUCCAGGCUAGUGUGAAUUACUGUUCCAAAAAUAAGAACAAGUUCUGUGUAUCAAGACUCCAAAAUCGUCUUCUUAGGAUCUUACAUAUCUAUACUCAUGAUAUUUUGUGUGCUUUGUUUCCUGAUUUAAAGUUUCUUUUCUAGAACCCAGGUUUGCAUCAAACUCAAGUUCCUCCUGCUUGUGUCUCCUAGUGCUAGAACAGAAGUUGUUCACCACUGUGCUUGCUAACAGUAAAAAUUUUGACUAGCCUGACUGAUCUCAAUUGUCCCUGAAAACAGUUAUCCACUGUGGCAGCUGGGAAAGGCUAGUUCUUGCAGUUGUAGAAACUGAGUCUACUGUUUUCUUGCUGAUUUUUAUAGCCAUGGCCUUCUGACUGAAUUUCUAUAGUUUUUAGCCUUUCUAUUGUGCCUCCCCUAUUCUCAAAACCAGAAAUGGUGAAUCAAGUCACUGCUUAUACUUUGAAUCUCCCCACUUUCCCAUUGUUCUUUAUCUGCCUUUAUAAGAAGCUGUGUCUUUAGCAUAGGCACACUUAGCUGACAGUAUUCAGUAAGAUCAACCAACUGAGAAGUUUAAUUACUACUAAAAUUUCUUUGCCAUCUGUAGGUCAUAGUCUGACUAAGUAACCACUAUUCAAGAACUCUGCCCAUCAUGGUACAUCAAGGUCACAUUUUGGUUGUUCUAUGACUCCUUGUUAGUGGAAUGACUUUGACCAAAAGUUAAGGUGAGUAUUAACAUGGGCAAUAAAGUAAAGAAUAAACAAAUAAGAAUACAGCACUAACCACCAUAAAUUAAGAGCAAGAAUAUGCCUGGCUCUGAAGAUGUGUUUUCCCCUUUGAUCUUCAUAGAGCUCUUCAAGUAGGAAGCUGAGCUUCACAGACUUCCAGCAACUUGCUAACAUCAGACAGCCAGUAAACGAGGGAGCCAAACUUCAAGACAAGAA